GUGGGCAGGUGCAGUUUUCCAGAUCUGCACAGGUGAUUCGAUGCACAUCCAGGGCUCAGAACCACAGCUUUUGUGAGGGAGUCUUGUGUGAUGCUGGGGACAACAGACUGCUGAGAAAGUCUGCUGCUGGGAGCUGUUGGAAGUGGCUGGGGAGGACAGCCAUUCCCAUGAAGCUGUAGAAAGGAGGCCAAGUGAGUAACCCAAUGAAGUAUUUAUGGCCAGAAAGAUCUGCUGAGACCUGUCCAAGUCAUCACUGGGGUUGGGAGCACGAAAGGAAGGACAGACGAAACAAUGGCCAUGCGUGGGUAACUGCUGGAUGUGAGGUUUGCUUGGGGUAGGGCUGGACAGAAGGAAGAGAGGAGGCAUGGCUAAGCUGAAGAUGAUGAAGGCAGAGCUGUGAGAAGACCAACAACCAGACAUAAGACACAGGGCAGAAGUGGCCCCAAGGUACCAGCAAGACGAUGUACUUCAACCACUUGAAGUCCUGCCACUUGAAGCCAGCGAGGACAAAGAGAGAGUCACGCUCAUACUGUUCAGGUCGCUGCAUGGCGCCCUCAGGAAAUGAGACAACACAACAGUGAAUAAGCAGAAGCCACCUUGUCAGAUGAGACUUUCUACCCAGGAGGGGCACAAGGGCAGUCAUUGCUGACCCCUGUCUACUCUCACUGCCUGCAGUUCGAGGAAGAAGAUGGAGAAAAGAUUGAAAACUGUGACUGUCACCAGAGGGUUCAAAUCCCAGACAUCUAGAUGCAUGUACCCAACUGGUGGCUGCUAAAUCUCCAUCCCAAAUCUAGACCCCAAGUCCUGCACUCAAGACUUAUAUAGCCAACUUCACCUGAGCAUCUUGUCCAAGAUAGCCCACUGGUGCCCAGGUUCACCAGAGUAGAAACAAGGAGCCCAUUAGCUUCCCCUAAACCUAUCCCUCUUCUCUUCUUUCCCCUGAAGAGCACUCAAGUCACAGAGUAAAGGGGCGACCUAUCUGGCUGUUUGCUGCCUCAAGGGCAUUCACUGUGGCCUAGUUGUGUCUCCCUGAAUGAAAGUAGGAGGGGUGUGCCCCCUGUGCUGGCCAGGGAAGUAAGGAAUCCCUGCACCCACUAGGCUGGAAUCACAUCACGCUCUGUGUCACUGCCCCAGGUUGGCAAUGCAUUAAUGCAGACUGUUCUUGGGAUUUCCCAUGCAGGCCCCCUUUGGCUUCAGCUGGGGUCUCUUCCAUAGGAAAGUACUCUAGCUGCUCUCUGCAGUCCAGGUACUCCAGCACUGUUCCUAACUUUAGGGACUUUGUGUGAGGUUGCAGGCAUAGAAUUUUUCUCUUGCCAAGCACCAAGUGUCAAAUAGAAUGGGCCAAGCUAACAAUAGCUGAAAACCUCACCUGCCACAGAUCUACUGUCCAGGUGCACACGGGAAACUGCCUUAAGAAUUCCAGGUGCUGGGCUGGGGCUCAGUGGUGGAGCACUUGUCUAGCACAUGUGAGGCACUGGGUUCGACUCUCAGCA